rnacentral:rRNA from 1 species
AUUGAACGCUGGCGGCAUGCCUUACACAUGCAAGUCGAACGGCAGCACGGGAGCAAUCCUGGUGGCGAGUGGCGAACGGGUGAGUAAAGUAUCGGAACGUGCCCAGUCGUGGGGGAUAACGUAGCGAAAGUUACGCUAAUACCGCAUACGAUCUAUGGAUGAAAGCGGGGGAUCGCAAGACCUCGCGCGAUUGGAGCGGCCGAUAUCAGAUUAGGUAGUUGGUGGGGUAAAGGCUCACCAAGCCGAAGAUCUGUAGCUGGUCUGAGAGGACGACCAGCCACACUGGGACUGAGACACGGCCCAGACUCCUACGGGAGGCAGCAGUGGGGAAUUUUGGACAAUGGGCGCAAGCCUGAUCCAGCCUUGCCGCGUGCAGGAUGAAGGCCUUCGGGUUGUAAACUGCUUUUGUACGGAACGAAAAGGUUUGACUUAAUACGUUGGACUCAUGACGGUACCGUAAGAAUAAGCACCGGCUAACUACGUGCCAGCCGCCGCAGUAA